AAGGGAUUGAAAUUUUCUCUGUGUUUUAUUUAUUCCCCAACAAAUUCACUUAGAUAUAGAAUAAAUCUGGUUCUUCUCAAACUCAUGUACCCUAGGUUUCCUUUAUUAAAUCAAUUUUUGUUUAAAUUAAAAACAAUCUUAUUUUACAUAUCAAUCUCAGUUCCCACUCCAUCCCAUCCUCCCAUGCUCCCCCACACAAACUCCCCAUCACACCCACCAAACACUCCCAGAGUGUGUGAUGCCUCCAACAAGGCAUCACAAUAUGUGACAUCAAAGUCUGUCACAUAUUUUGGGGCAGGACCAAGACCUUCUCCAAUGUAUCUAGGCUGAGAGAAUAUCCUUCCAUAGAAAAUGGGUACCCAAAGACCGUUUUGUGUACUUGGAUAAAUACUGGUUCCUCUGCCAAAGGCCCUAUAGAGAGCAUAGGCCUUCCAUUGACACCCCCAAUCAAGAAGCCUGGUUCAGUCUUAUGCUAGUUACCCAGCUGUCAUGGGUGUUCAUGUAUUACCACUUGAUCAGGUCAGCUGUUUUUGAAUGUUUCUCUGCCAUGAUCUUGACGCCUUUACUCAUUACUACGCCCUCUCUACAACUGAAUUCUAGGAAUUCAGCUCAGUACUUACCACACAGAAGGCAUCCAAUAUCUUCUAGUUUUUUUUAAGUAUUGGCUUUUACUAAGUUUUUUAAAGGUGGGCAUAUUUCAUAUAUUUUGUAAACAACAACAUACUAUCCAUUCUCUGACUUUUUACUUGCAGGAUUGCAUCCUGUAUUCCAGACAUUAUGAUGGCUCCAUAUAAUUUUUCUGUUUUUACCAGAGAGUAAUAUUGGAAUGUAAAUUUUAAUUAUGUUCCUUGUAAAUUUCUAUAAAUUUAGCACUUGAAAGGGUGAGGCUGAAACAUGUUUGUGAAAUUACAAGUCACCCUAGCCUACCAAUUGAAUUCUAAAUCUACCAGUACCCAAAGUGAGAUUUAUGGCUUAAAAUAUACAGGGUAAAAUACAGUAGAGAAUCAAAAAUUCCUCAAAAAAAGACCUUAAUUACCUGUACGGUUGACCGCACCGCAUGUGGUCACAUGUAUAUAGAAAGGUGUAAACAAGGUAAGAUAGAGCUAGUGCUCUCUCUGUCUCUCUCUCGGGGUUGAACCAGCAUUGGAAAGCUGCUGGGACUCUACCACUAGAAGUGACAACCUGGUUAUGGAUUUUUGUGUGAGUAUAACUCCCAAAUAAAUUACCAGUUAAUAAGCAGUCUCUGAAUCCAUUUGGAUUCAACAAUAGCCUUUAGAAUAUAUCUGUAAGCAACACUGCCUGGUUGCCUUGGUAUUAUUUAGGUCUUCCAUGAUGAUAAAUCCAGUCAACUGUCAGAUAGUACUUCUGUGUGGACAUACUAAUUUUUUUGAUUUUUUAAAUUUAAAUUAUAAACAAGCUUGAUAAAUGUCAAUCCCAGUUCCCUCUCUGUCCCAUCCUCUCAUGAUCCCCACCCCCUAUCCCAUGCCAUUUCUCCUCCCCAGUGAGGUUGGGAACUUCCAUGGGGGAACUUCAAAGUCUGUUAUAUCAUUUGGAGCAGGUUCUAGGCUCUCCCUGGUGUGUCUAGUUGAAAGAGUAUCCCUCUAUGUGGAAUGGGCUCUCAAAGUCCAUUCCUAUAACAUGAAUAAAUACUGAUCCACUCCCAGAGACCCCAUAGAUUGUCCAGGAUUCGUAACUGACAGAUGUGUUCAAGUCUGGAUAAGUUCUUUGCUAGUUUCCCAGCUAUCAGUCUGGGGUCCAUGAGCUCCCCUUUGUUCAGCUCAUCUGUUUCUCUGGGUUUCUGCAGUGCGGUCAUGACCCCUAUAUUAUCCCUCCUCGCUCUCUGCAAGUGGAUUCCAGGAAUAUAGCUCAGUGUUUAGCUGUGGAUGUUUCCUUCUGCUUGAAUCAGCUACUGGAGAAAGGCUCUAGGAUGACCUGUAAGAUAGACAUCAAUUCUCAUUACAAGGAAGCACAUUUAAGACAGCAUCUCCACUAUUGCUUAAAUUGUUAGUUGGGGUAGGUGGAUGUACUUAUUAUAUAUUGUAUAAAUGCACAUAUCUAUAACUAUGUAUAUGAAUAUCCAAAUAUAUUUACAACUCAUUAGACAAAAGAUGAAUUCUAAAUUUUUUAUUAUAGGAACAAAUCAAGCACCAAAUUAAUUUUUCCAUAUUUUAAAUUUUAGUAACCUUCCACAGCACUUGUGUGAAAUUUGGAUACAUUAACUCAAUCAUGUAUGAGGAAAAUAUGUUCAAAGCAGUAAAUAUAUCACACUUAUGAGCCCAAGGAAAGAUGUUCAAUAUGUACUUUAAGUUAUACCAUAUGUAGUUAUCAUUUUGAGUAUUAAUUUAUAAAGUUAAUGUUCACUUCACAUGCUUAUUUUCACUACUUCAUUCUGUUAUACUCCCCAUAUGAUUGUAGCUAUCUAAACACACACAAGGUGACACCAAGACAGAGAAACUUCAUUUGAUUGUGUUCUUGGGGUCACCAAAACAACUCGUUUUUGAAAAAUUAUGCUCACCUUUGAACAAAAUAAAAGGAAAAUUUCUUCAACAACAUUUGAUGGGUUUUGACCCCAAUUAUAGGAAAAGAAAAGGUUGAUUAUGUAGAAAUUCUUUGCCAUUGAUUUGUUAUUAACAGAAAAACAGUGUGCACAAGCUGCAAAACUCAAUGAAAGUUUGCAUAUGACAUUUAGAAACUAACUAUUGGGCCCAACACUGUUUCUCAGGAACAGAUUGCUGACCACGUGAUCUGUGAAAACAAGGCCUCUCAAACAUCCCAGAACACAGACAAAGCAACUAAGUAAUUAUUCCCUGAACAACAUGUAGGCAGAAAAUAGUGUUCAGUUUGAUCCUGUCACACUCCACUCCUAAAUGAACACACACAGGCAUAUAUUAAGUAUAAACUAUUUGUACUUAGGCAAAAUCAUCUUAUUUGCUCACUCUCUAUAAAUCCUAACCCAUUUCUUUUCAUCAGUGAAUCUCCAGGUGGUUUAGCAUAACAGAGGAAAACAGAGCAACCUAAAUUCCCUGAAGUUACAUGGCGACUCUCAGGAGACUCACUCUCCAUAUACCUCUCCCAGAAUUCAACUCUGGCUUCAUUCCCUAUAUGUCCUCAAUGGCUACAUAUUGUCUGACUAUGGGCCAAAAUAGCUUCAUUCAUAAACCAAUAAGAGAAACAUAUAUCCACAGCAUAUAGAAAAGCAUCUGCUUCAGGUUCUAUUUCCUACUGGAGAAAAUAAGGAUUUUUUUUUUAAAAAAAAUUCACAUUGGCCAAUUAUGUAUUUCAAAGUUGAUGAGCAAAAAUUAUGGAUAUCAUUAUGUAGUACAUUAACAUUUGCCAAAUUUUAAGAAAAUAUUCCAUGGUCUGCCCUUGCUUUGUUAGGUUAAAGAAUCAAAUGCAAGUUACAUUUAUCAUAAUUAAGAAAAUCCAUAAUGGUAAUUAUCAGUCCUCAAAAGCAACAAAGAUUCCAGAAGGAUUCUAUAUAAAACAAUAAAUUAGGAGAGACAUCUCUCUUCCAUGAAAGUCACCCAACUUUUGGCGGCACCCUAAGCCCAUCCAUCUUCAGCCAGUAUGGCCAGAACAUGUAGCAGAAUUUUGGAGGAAGAAUAUAAGAAGGAUCAUCCUUUCCCUUGGCGUCUUCAGCAGUCCGUCUUCUUUGGAACCUGUUUGUCUAGUUUGGACACCAUGCUGUCAAGCAGUCAAGGGAAGAGAGGAUUCUCCUCCAAAUAGCAAGUUCUGCCCUGUGAAAGGCAAACUCCAUAACCAGAUUCUUUAAUGACCAUCUUAAUCUCUAAUGUGAUCUGUUGACUUCACAAGAUGAUUAUAGCUAUACAUAACCAAUUCCUAUCAAAUCAUGUUAACGUGUCUAUAAGGAUUUUAUCAAGAAAAAGUAUAGAAAAGAGAAACAAAUAUAGCUACCACUGGAAGCUUUUGUAAGUAAUAAGGAAAAAAUCUGUUAAAAAUAAAACAACAAGUACAAGAACCAAAGAAGAAAAAAUUGUAAAACAACUACCAAUGAGGAUUUCACUAAAAGCUACAGGUACAGGGGACAGGAUGGAGCUUACUCAGCAUGCUCAGCUACCUCGAUCUAUCUGUAAAUCUCCUCUUUUGUGGCAAAAGGACUGGUUUGCCACUCUAUGUAUAUAGUUACACUAUAAUCAAAGAAGGCCAUAAUAAAUAUUUUUGAAAGACCAACAUAGGUUACAUGAAUAUGUCACAGAAGGGAAUAUUUACAUUUAUAAAAGAUGAAAUAGUAUGCCUGCUUUCUAGAGGUCUACAAAGGCUAUGGACGAUAAGAGGAUCUAUUUACAAGUCAUUCCUAAAAUGCUACUCAGGCCAUUAUUUGGGUCAGGAUAAUUAUCAAUGAAGAAAUUACGGGAUAUAAUCCAGGAGAUUCCACCCCGUCAUUCUGAUUGUUUUCCAAGAAAAAAUUCUCUUUGGCUUAACUAAAGUCAUCUAAUUACAAACUAUUUACAGUUUGAUACGUGGGUGCAAACUGAUUCUUCUGUGCCUUUCCAAAACUUGGAAUAGGCAGCUUUUACUUGCUCAGUCAGUGAAGAAACAGAGACUUUAUAACUACUAAGACAAAAUUACGAGAUUAGUAGAAACAUCACUCCUUUGAACGCAGAAAUGAAUUUUCUAAAUAAAGAAACAAAAAAAAAUAUCUUACUACAGUAUUCUGAGGAAAAGGCAAUGGGACAUAUAUAGCAGCGUUUCAGUACUGCAGUCAUGAAUCCCUUCUGUUUCAUGACAUAACAGAGAAACACACACAAGCCCAGAGUUACCCCGAGAUACCAAAACAUACUGGGUAGACACACAAUUUAUAUAGUUUCAAUAAACCAUAGAAAGUCAUAAUAAACAUUUUGUUGAAAGAACAGUAUAGGAUAGAUGUAUAUGUCAAAGAUUGAAAUGUUUACAUUUAUAAAAGAGGAAACAGCAUAUCUGCUUUCUAGGGGACUGCAAAGACUAUGGAUGUUUAGAUACUAUAUUUACAAGGCUAUUUACAAAUAAUUCCCAAAAUGCUACUCAUGCCAUUACUAGGCUCAGGAUAAUUAUCAAUGAAGAAACUACAGGAUAUAAUCCAGGAGAUUCAGCCCCGUCAUUCUGAAUGUUUUCCAUGAAAACAUUCUAUUUGCAUAACUAAAGUCAUCUAAUUACAAACUAUUUACAGUUUGAUACGUGGGAGCAAACAGAUUCAGCUCUGCCUUUCCAAAUCUUGGAGUAGGCAGCUUUUAGUUGCUUGUUGAGUGGAGAGAGAGAGAGAGAGAGAGAGAGAGAGAGAGAGAGAGAGAGAGACUUUAUAGCUACCUGUAAAUAUUACGAAAGUAGUGUAAACUUCACUCAUGUCAAUGCAGAAAUAAAAUUUCUAAGUACAAAAACAAAAGAAAAUUAUCUUAUUACACUAUUCUGAGGAACAUGUAAAGGAACUUAGAUGGCAGCGUUUCAGUACUGCAGUCACGAAACUCUCCUGUUUCAUGACAUAACAGAGAAACACAGACAGACCCAGAAAUACCCCGAGAAAGCCACACAGACUGGGUAGACACACUAUUCACAUAGUUUCACUAUAACUGUAGAAAGCCAUAAUAAACAUUUUGUUGAAAGAACAAAAUAGGAUACAUGUAUAUUUCACAGGCAGGAAUCUUGAUAUACAUAAAAGAUGAAACAGUAUACCUGCUUUCCGGGGAGUUCAAAGACUAUGGAUGGUUAGAUGCUCCAUUUACAAGGCUAUUUGCAAGUAAAAACUAAAAUGCUACUCAUGUCAUUAAUUGGGUCACGAUAAUUAUCAAUGAAGAAAUUACAGGAUAAAAACCAGGAGAUUCAGCCCCAUCAUUCUGAAUGUUUUCCAGGAAAACAUUCUCUUUUGCUAAACUAAAGUCAUCUAUUUACAAACUAUUUACAAUUAGAUCCAUGGGUGCAAACCAAUUUAUCUGUGACUUUCCAAAUCUUGGAUUAGGCAGGUUUUCAUUGCUCAGUGAGUGAAAAAAAAUAAGGGGGAGAGAGAGAUAGAGAGAGAGAGAGAGAGAGAGAGAGAGAGAGAGAGAGAGAGACAGAGAGACAGAGAGAGAGAGACAGAGAGAAAGAGAGAAAAAGUUUAUAAAUGCUAGGACAAAAUUAGCUGAGCAGUAGAAACAUCACUCGUUUUAAGGCAGAAAUAAGAUUUCUAAAUACAAAAACAAAAUAAAUGAUCUUACUACACUAUUCUGAGGAAAAGGUAAAGGGACUUAUAUAGCAGUGUUUCAGUACUGCAGUCAUGAAACUCUCCUGUUUCAUGACAUAAGAAAGAAACACACAGAGACCCUGAAUUAACUCAUCCUCUACUAAUAAAUUCUAUGAAAAUAAUUGACAAAAGUAAAAAUAACAUACACAAAGAAACUAACAUGCACAUAUUCUCACCAUAUAACUAGUUUAUAGCAAAGCAACCUUGAAGAGCUGACCUGAAGACAUAAUGCAAUCUGAAGAUACAGUUAGUGCUUACACUCUAGCCUUCAUGCUAUUACAGCUUGGUUAUUUGAUCAUCAGUAGUGACAGUUAAAUAUUUGCUAAUGUCAAAUUGUAAUUGUAAAAUUGUUUUUUACAUAAUCAAUCAUUAAAAUUUCUUAAUCCAAAAUGAAGAUAAUUUGUUCUACUAUUUUUUUCCAACACAUGAAGCACACAAUAUUUGAAAUUUUUUUUCCUGUUUGAACAGUACUUCUUUCUCAGUGUACCAUUCUUAACCAACUUUGUGAACUAUUCCAUUGUGAAAGGAUAAAAUGAGCUCUACUUGGCA
rnacentral:lncRNA from 1 species